rnacentral:rRNA from 1 species
GAUGAACGCUGGCGGCGUGCCUAAUACAUGCAAGUCGAGCGAACAGAUAAGGAGCUUGCUCCUUUGACGUUAGCGGCGGACGGGUGAGCAACACGUGGGUAACCUACCUAUAAGACUGGGAUAACUUCGGGAAACCGGAGCUAAUACCGGAUAACAUUUGGAACCGCAUGGUUCUAAAGUGAAAGAUGGUUUUGCUAUCACUUAUAGAUGGACCCGCGCCGUAUUAGCUAGUUGGUAAGGUAACGGCUUACCAAGGCGACGAUACGUAGCCGACCUGAGAGGGUGAUCGGCCACACUGGAACUGAGACACGGUCCAGACUCCUACGGGAGGCAGCAGUAGGGAAUCUUCCGCAAUGGGCGAAAGCCUGACGGAGCAACGCCGCGUGAGUGAUGAAGGGUUUCGGCUCGUAAAACUCUGUUAUUAGGGAAGAACAAAUGUGUAAGUAACUGUGCACGUCUUGACGGUACCUAAUCAGAAAGCCACGGCUAACUACGUG